AUGGAGGCCCUAGAGACAAAGCCAUCUCUUCGUGAAGAUGCAUAUACAUAUGGUUCUAGAAUUGGCUGCCGCCGCCGCAAACUCCCUCCUCCUCUCCCCCCGCCGCCGCCGGAGGACGCCGCCGGGCUAAGCCCGGGGGCAGACGACGGUGGCGGGGAUCUCCUCUCGCGCGCGUCUCCGGGGUGUGGCGGACCCCAAGGCGUGUGGUGGCGCGACCGAUCUGGGAUCUGCGGCGUGGCGGAUGGCUGCAGCAGGCGGCGGGAGGCCGGCCCGUCCUCGGACGACGACGGCUUGGCGCGACGGGCGGCCCAGUCAUGGGUGGCUGCCAAGGCUGCGGGCGCUGCGGAUGGCCCUUCGGGCGGCGGCGGCGGCCGGCUUGGCUGUGGUGGCGUGCAUGCCGCCUUCAGAUCGGCGACGACGGCGUGGAGGGCCUGGUGGCCUCGUCGGUGGCACCUCCGAUCAAAUCUAUUCUGA
rnacentral:rRNA from 1 species